rnacentral:tRNA from 1 species
UGUCCAUUGGUGUAAUGGUAGCACAUCAGAUUCUGGCUCUGCCAGUGGGGGUUCGAGUCCCUCAUGGACAGCAA